UUGGAGGGAGAGGAGUGGGAGAAGAAGAAGAGAACGAAGGCUGUGCUAAGCUGUGCUCACCUUUCAGGAGCCUCGGGUGAUUUUUGUUCUCGAUCUGCUCCAACCCCAGGCAUGGAUCCUCCUUGCCCACAGCUCAUUCCAGAGCCUGUUCUGUAUCAUCGAAACUGGCAAAACCGGGGCAGACGAGCCCUUCCAGGAGCACCCAGCUCGAUGAAGCCUGCGAUGCCCGACUUUGAAGAUACAGGAGAGCACAGAGAAGCCGAACCUCUUCCUUGUGUAGAGAGAAGCGGACAUUGGACCCUGGAAUUUGGCAAACGAAGCUUUGAAAGGAGGGGCCGUGAACACCGAGGAGACAGAGAUUACCUACUCUGGGGGAAGCCAUGUUGUGAGCUAAGUUGUAAACAACCCUAGGAAGAGGCCCACCUGGCAAGGGGCUGAAGUGUCUGGUCAACUACAAGCAAAUGAGUGAGCAUGGAAGUGGAUUCUCCAGCUCCAGGUGCUCAGUAAAUGAAUGCCAACCAGACAUCAGGCAUCCUGCUCUGCUGGGGCCACUUGGAGAUGAAUAAAACAUGGUCUUGGUCUUGCCAUGGAUUGGA